CCCGUCUAAAGCAACUGAUAAUACCAUGAUACCCUAUAGUCCUGUUCUCUCUGCUCAGACAGCAGCUUAAUCUCGGAAUCAUACAACAGGCUAUCUUUGUAAUUGGUAAUAGCAUCUUGAUUCACCAUGACUCCUCAUCUAAAUGAUCCUUGUAUGGUCUUUUUCCUUUAAAGUCUUGCUGCUUGAUUCUUGAUUUCCUACAACUCCUGCGCUUAC
rnacentral:misc_RNA from 1 species